UUAUGUACAUGUCUACAACGUUAAUGCAUUGGAUCUCAUCAAAACUCCAUAGUUAAGUGCACUUGAGCUAGAGUAGUACGGGGAUGGGUGACCUCCUUGAAAGUCUUAGUGUUUUACAUGUC
rnacentral:rRNA from 1 species